rnacentral:rRNA from 1 species
UACGGAGGGUGCAAGCGUUGUCCGGAAUCACUGGGCGUAAAGGGCGCGUAGGCGGCUCAUGAAGGCUGUGGUGAAAGUCCGGGGCUCAACCUCGGAUCGGCCGUGGCGACUCGUGGGCUGGAGCACUGUAGAGGCGGGUGGAAUUCCGGGUGUAGCGGUGGAAUGCGUAGAGAUCCGGAAGAACACCAGUGGCGAAGGCGGCUCACUGGUCCGAUACUGACGCUGAGGUGCGAAAGCGUGGGGAGCAAACAGG